UUACACGGAAUCCCUCGGGAGGAAGUGUGAAUGACUGAGUGGCGGACGGGUGAGUAACGCGUGGGCAACCUGCCCCGUACCGGGGGAUAACAGCCGGAAACGGCUGCUAAUACCGCAUAUGCUUUGCGGGCCGCAUGGCCCGCAAAGCAAAACUCCGGUGGUACGGGAUGGGCCCGCGUCUGAUUAGCUGGUUGGCGGGGUAACGGCCCACCAAGGCGACGAUCAGUAGCCGGCCUGAGAGGGCGGCCGGCCACAUUGGGACUGAGACACGGCCCAGACUCCUGCGGGAGGCAGCAGUGGGGAAUAUUGCACAAUGGGGGAAACCCUGAUGCAGCGACGCCGCGUGGGCGAGGAAGUACCUCGGUAUGUAAAGCCCUAUCAGCAGGGAAGAAACAGGACAGUACCUGACUAAGAAGCCCCGGCUAACUACGUGCCAGCAGCCGCGGUAAUACGUAGGGGGCAAGCGUUAUCCGGAUUCACUGGGCGUAAAGGGAGCGCAGGCGGCAUGGCAAGUCUGAUGUGAAAACCCGGGGCCCAACCCCGGGAGUGCAUUGGAAACUGCCAGGCUGGAGUGUCGGAGGGGUAAGCGGAAUUCCUAGUGUAGCGGUGAAAUGCGUAGAUAUUAGGAGGAACACCAGUGGCGAAGGCGGCUUACUGGACGACUACUGACGCUGAGGCUCGAAAGCGUGGGGAGCAAACAGGAUUAGAUACCCUGGUAGUCCACGCCGUANACGAUGAAUACCAGGUGUCGGCGGGCACGGCCCNCCGGUGCCGCAGCAAACGCAGUAAGUAUUCCGCCUGGGGAGUACGUUCGCAAGAAUGAAACUCAAAGGAAUUNGACGGGACCCGCACAAGCGGUGGAGCAUGUGGUNUAAUU
rnacentral:rRNA from 1 species